GCCGGUGACCAUACCCUAGCGGAAACACCCGUUCCCAUUCCGAACACGGCCGUGAAACGCUUAGGGGCCGAUGGUAGUCCGUCCAGGGCGAGAGUAGGUCAUUGCCGGCA
rnacentral:rRNA from 2 species